CGAUUUUAUCUAUGUCUAAACGCUGCUUCACGUGUCGUUAUUCUAUUAGGGUUGAACCAGUGUGUACUUUUCUGUCAUUCGAGAUCGAGGCGUGACCUGAGUUACAAGAGAGUUGUUUCAUCUUCUUCCUCAUCAAUCCGCAAGAUACCGGUUACAGCUUCAACCUCUUCAAGACCUUCUUAAAUCCAUACCCCAUGAUCUCUCUUGAAUGCGAUCUCAGGUAGGCGGUGGGAUCUUGACUAUAAAAAGGUAUGCUUUCAUGCUUAGAGAACCAUCUCCUCAUUUCUUAUAUCAGAAACCAGUAAUCUUAUUUUCAGUUCCAUGAUUUUCUUCCUGGGUUGGGAGAGGCCGAGCUCAUCCUUUUAUGGGAAGCUCUACGGAUUGAUGUCGAGAUGUUCAUCAAUGAACAUGGUUUGUUUUUUGAUUGGAGGGGGAAGAAGUUCUGAUCAUGGCGUCGAUGUCAGACAUCGGAUCAGGGACCUAAGACAGAGGUGGGAGGAGGAGGAAUAGAGAGCUCGGAGACGGUUGCGGCGAGUGAUUAAAUGUUGUUGCAUAGAUGUUUUACGAAGGCGAAGAAGGAGAGAGGUUGCACAUUUAAGGAGCGUAUCAGUGAAACGCUGCUCUGCACCGCUGGAAAAAAGAGUUUCAUUUACCGUGGAGUCACCAGGCAUGGAUGGACAUUUCAUUGUGAAGGUCACCUUUGAGAGAAGAUAAGAGUACAUGGAACUAAAACCAGAACAAGAAGGAAAAACAAGGUUAUCAGAUUGGUAAGCUAUAAGCUUUGAAGGAGCAUAUGAUGAAGAGGCUGCUGCUAGAGCUUACGAACUUGCUGCCUUGAAAUACUGGAGACCUGGGACACUUAUCAACUUCCCAGAGCAGGUGAUGAUCGAGGAGCAGAAGGUGACUUUCUUGGCAUCUUUUAUCUGACAGGAUACAUAAAGUGGUUGGGAGUCAAUAAAACCUUUCAGCCAGAAUCUUCAUCAGAAGCAUCAGAGGAUGCAAAGGUUGAAGAUGUUGGUACUGAGCUUAAAACACUGGAAGACACAUCCGAGGCAACAGAGCCAUACAAAUCCCAAAACAUUGGCAUUACUCAGAGAAAAGAGAAACAAAUAUCAUCGUCUUAAGCAAUUUGUCUGCGUCACCUGCUUACAUGAGCCUAGAGGAGAAAGUGCCAAGUUUUAAUGUCUGCGUCAUCUUGGAGAUGAUAACCUGACCAUACCAUUCGACCCAGCACGAAGAUCCGUUUACGUGCCAAGUUUUAAAUUUCUGAAUUUCUUUUAUAAUUAUCCCUAUUCUGUUAAACUUUUAAUGUUUCCAGUACCUUUAUUUAAGAUACAUGGAUCUUAACUUGGUUAUCAAACAAAAUUUGGUCAUACACA